rnacentral:lncRNA from 1 species
UCCCUUCGCAGGAUGAAUUUUAUAUUUCAUAGAUUUUUUUGGGAACAAACACAUUUGGACACCAUCCUUUUAUGUUUAUGAUAUUAAAUAUAAUAUUAAAAUUAAUUGCAAGGAUAACACUCGCAAACAUCAUUACAACAUCUAGGAAAGCCAACUCGACACAUUCUUUCACAUGGCGUUCCAUUGGGACCACACGAUUCGUUGGACAUUAACGAGCCUUUGUCAGCCAAAACCGAUGAGAUAAACAAACCUGAAAAUUAAAGUAUAUUCCAUUAGAGAUAAACAGGGAAGAUGAUGGUAAUUAGAGUGCUAGCUAUUGAGACAAACAAAAGACUACGUACCAGACAUGGAAACCAAUAACAUGACCAUGAACACCAUCUUCAAAUUUUGCUCCAUCUUUUAAGCGAUCGUUUUAAAAGCAAAACGAAAGAAGUUAGUUUUAAUCUGCAUUAAAGUAAUCUCUUAUGCGUCAUAUAUAUGCGUCAUAUCUUCUAUCAAAAUUAAAUUUUAAUAAAUGCUAAUAAAAAUGGUCAAAUAUAUUGUUACAAUCAUCGAUAUUCCUACAUUAAAUUAUUUAAAGGAUUCAUUAUCAUUCCAAAAUCAAAAUUUAAUAAAAAUAAAGAAUAUCAGUUUUCCAAUUAAAAUUAAUCAUUUCUAAUAAAUAAAGGUAUUCUUUUGUCAUUUGUCACACUAUAAUUCAAUAUUGCCAAAUGUAAUUUUAUGGUUAUUUUGAAUUAAUUUUUUUUUUCACAUGUUAUUUUAUAAGGUUUUUUUUUUUUUUUUCUAUUUUGUUAAAUUACAUGUAAUAUAUUAAUGUAAUAAUUGCAAUUUCGAACUUACCAUUUAAUUUAAAAUUCUCAAAUUUUAGCUCAUUAGUUUUCUUUUAUUUAUUUAAAUUUAAAACACAAAACACAUUUAUAUUAUAAUAAUUCAUUAUGUAUUUUAUUUUCUUAUAAAUUAAAAGUUCUCAAAUAUUUUGACAUUUAUAAUUAUCUUUUUUUUUGUAAUUAACCCAUGUAGUACAUGGGUCUCACAACAAGUAUUGUUAAUAAAUAAAAGAAGAAAUAAUUAAUAUAUGUGUGGUUAAUUUGUUACUAUGUUAGCAGUAAAUUUCCCAAAUGAUAAGCCCAACUCCAUAACCUAAUUAGUAACGAGUUAUUAAAAGUAUUCAAUCAUGGUCCAUUUCUUGCCCACCAGUUGAACCCGGCCACCAGGCUAAACACAAAAUUAGGCCUAGACCAGAUAUGGCUUAUGAUUCGACUAUUGGUUUCCCUCCUCUAUUGUUUGUUUGAAACCAAUAUAUAUAUAUAUAUAUAUAUAUAUAUGUAUAUAUAUAUGUAUAUGUAUAUAUAUAUAUAUGUAUAUAUAUAUAUGUAUNUAUAUAUAUAUAUAUAUAGAGAGAGAGAGAGAGAGAGAGAUAGAGCUAGGUUCAAAUGUUUCUAGCAACUAUUGUAUGCAUGAAUACACUAAUAUGCAUUUAGGAAAAAAAUAAAUAAGUAAAUAAAUAAUUUAAGGGUAUUAUAGUAAUCUUUUCUAUGGAAUUCAUCUUCUCCCUCCAAAAAUCACCACCGACAUCAAAAUUGAACCACCAUUCAAGUUGAUUUUGUAAUUCAGUGGUGAAGUCCAACUGCUGAAUCAAUUGUUUGAAGGUUGGUCUCUGCCACUAACAUAAGUUUAUUUGAUUUCUGAUUCUUCUACUUCUUGAUUGCUUGCAAUUCUUCCUUUGAAUGCUACUAAUUUACGAUUCUUCACAUGAAUUUUCCAUUUGAUUUAUUCACAAAUUUUUUAUUCUUUGAUUAUCCAAAUCAAAUCUUUAUCAAAGCAACAACUCAAGUAAUGGGUAGAGAGAAAAAAUGGCGCUGAAAUUAUUUAUUGAUCGACUCUCCUAAAUAUCUCGUUCUAUUCUCCUCUUCUACAGGUAAAUUACAUAAUUACAUUCUUCAUUUACAUUAGGUGUUUUCUUUUUCUUCUUCUAUUGAGAGAAAAACAUGAGACACACUUGAACAAACGUUAGAACAAGUAUAUUUGCGGAAUUAGUUAAUCUCAAAGGAUCUAAAAGCUCAACAAUAAUAAGUUAACGAGUUAAAUAGUUAGACAGUUAGUUGCGGAAACGUAAGGAAGUAUAAAUGACAGCAGGUGAUAUAUCAAGUAAACAUAUAAGUUGAUUCAUAACAUGGAAUGCAUUCAAACCAAGUUAGUGAGUGAGAUCAAGCUUAGUGAUAAAGUCACGAAUGACUUGCUCCAAAGAGAAGUAAUUAUCAGUUAGGUUCGAGAGAAUUAGAUAGUAAGAAAGAUAUGAGAUGCGUAAGAGAAAUGUAAUUGAUAUACUUCAAGAUACUCCAGAUUGAUGGAUGUGUAAGAUUGAUUAAAAGAGUGAGCUCUAUAUAUAGAGUCUCAAGAGUUACAUUUGAUCCACUCUCUAAGAGUAGCCAUGCAAGGCAUACUAGACAAUAGAGAGUAUUACAGAAAAGAUAGAUAAAAUUAAACUAAGUAAAGUAAGUAAGACUGCAGUUGGAUAGAUGACUUCGGAUGAGGCUGUUGAUGAGAGCUUAACUACGGAUCCUUGUGGGUUGCGGUAUUUUCCACCAAAACUUUUUCUUCACUUAUCAAGUUUAAGGAACUUGAUCAGAAUCCACCAAAACUUCCUAAUAUUUUCCAACCAGGUGAUUCUUCUUAAAAUCUCGAACUUGACUUCGGCAGUCGUGUGUUUGGAUUUUUCUACUGCGGUUCGAUAGAUUUCAAGUUGCUUCUUUGAAAGACGAUUCAUGGAGGUCAUGGGAAUGAAGUAUUUGACCUGAUCGAUCUUCCUUUUAAAGAUGAAUCCAAAUUCAGGGAAGUUUGUUGCACCUAGGGAUCUUUAUUGAUAAGCUUCGGUAGGCAUUGGUGCAGGAUCUAGUGGUGGUAGAUCGAACUUCUUGGCAAUGGUUGCGUGGAUGUCCGCAUGAAUCUUUGCGAAGUCGUAGAUGGUUUCCUUCAGAAAAAUGCUUGCCCUUUCAAGUACUAUCUUAAUUUUAGGAUACUUUUCACACUUGUUUUGGAACACCUUUCCCAUAAGAAAGAUUCUUCUAUGUUCAUACAGGGGAAGUAAGCUUGGGUGCGGACAUAGUCCUGAUUCCUUCUUGUGAGUGUGCAUUAAACGAAGUCAGCCUUCAUGAAUUUCUGAGGCUUGAAGUUCUUGACUGCGGAUGGUCUAUCGUUAGACUAGAUUUUCUCUAUAGAAGAGGCAUGUUUGGCAUAGAAUCGAUUGAGUCUCUCGAAUUCCAUGGGCAGUCUUUUGUGAUCUGGUAUGCUAUGGUCAAACUGCUCAAAUACUGUGAAGUAUUUAGCAUUUGGGAAGAUUGGAACAUCCCAGUAGCCAUUAGAAGGGGGUUCAACAUAGGUGAGAUAUGGUUUGUAUUCAUCGUCCAGCAGUCUGCGGUGGGGAUUGACCCAAGAGUUUAUUAAGGAUUCAUCCAUGAUAGUGUCCAAACUGCAUUCUCUCCAUAUGAGUUCAACAAGUUUAGCUGCUUUCCAGUCAGCUUUCUUUUGUUUGGCGACGGGAGAGUCAUUUGAGCUUGGAGAUGACAUGUGAUCUGCUAGAUUCUUGAAAUGAGGGGGAGUAGCAGGUCGUUCAGGAAAGGGAACAAUUUUUUUGUUGUUGUGGAGGAGACUGAUUGCUUGGACUCUUGUGAGGAGAUGGUUGUGGUGAAGGAAUUUUCUGAGAAGCACUGUUGGAUUGAUGAUCUUUUUCAUAGUGUUCUUCUUCAUGAUGGUCUUCUUUACUUCCCCCUCUUGAGGAGUUUAGACCCGAAGCCUCCUCAAGCCAUUGUUUGAGACCAUCGACCUUGGCACACACCUCCUGAAAGUGAGCUUUGAGAACAUCAACUAGUUGCUAAUUGUCAGGAAUGGUGGUGUUGAAGAGUAGCCAAUGAAUCUACUUUGUCAGUUGGAGAAUUUCAGGACCAUGGAGGACUGAGAUAGAGGACUCAUAAGCAGUGUGAGUCUCAGCUAUCAGUUCCUGGGAAAGAGAGGAUUGGUCUACAAUGGUUGUUUGCAGAUUGUCUUUGAUUGCGGAUACCUCGGAGAUGAGGCGCUCCGCAGCAGCCAUAAAUUCCUUGUGAUCUGCUUGGCGAUUGUUGUUAAGGGACCGUAUUCUCAUUUCUACUUUGAGAGAAAUGCUCUCAGUCGCUAGAUAUUCCCUAGUCUCCAAUCUUUCAAUCCUUUCUUUCAAGGACUGCGGUAUCGGAUGAUCUUCUGAUUGAGGUUGAGUUGACUUGGUUGCGACAAGAAUUUGAUCUACUUUGGAUUGUAUACUUAAGACUUCUUUUCUUGAAAUGGCCAUCUUCUUAUUUUUCUUUUUCUCCUUGCACUUAGAGUUUAAGUGUUGAGAACCACUCGAUUCCUCUUCUUCAUCAAACAUCAUGAGGUCAUCAUCUGAAGGACUACGCUGAUUAACCUCAUGUAGAUCAACAUCAUCAAAACAAAAGGUGGGAGCAGAGCUGAAUUCUAUUUCAGUGCUUGCAUCUUGAGAGUCUUUGACAGUUGGAGAUGGAGGGGGCUUUAAAGGAGUUUGAUCAGUAGCCGCAUCUUGAGCUUUGCAGAUUGUAUCAGCCAUGUUGUCCAUCAAUUGUUGAACUUUGCAGAUAGUAGAUACGAUAUUGGCAUUAUUGAUUGCAUCUGCCCAAUACUUCGCUACAGACUGUAUUUCUUGUUGUUUCAGUUGAAACUGCUUUGUUUAUCGUGCCUUUCUUGCUUGGAAUGCCCUACAGAAAGCGGCAUAUUUCUUGGAUUCGACUUCAUUUGAUGGUUGAUACUUGUUCCAUGAGUCAUUGAGGUCAAUUUCUUCAAUUCCUUGGUAUCGCACCAAGGUGUCCCGCGGGUUCACGGAUCCUUGCACGCUGGUGCUCACUGUGCCUAAACCACAUGUUACAGAUGUAAGCAGAGUAGGAUUUCAUGACUUUCCUCGAUCUCCUUGACCUAGGAUCAAGUCUGGUCUGGCUCAGUUCUGGAAAAAGGCUGAAGAUUCACCUUGUGGUUGGGAAGGUGUUUGAAGUGUUUGGGUAACAAAAAAAGUAUGGAGUUCAACUCCUCUAGGGAAAAGAAAUGUAGACGAGAAGCCCUAGAGAUCUUAGGGCAGGAGCUAGUUCCAUCCCCUUGGGAUUGACCUGGGGGUGAAUCUCCACAUUGCAGUGAAGCAGACACACCACCUAUGUCUGAGUGGUAUUGGAUAGUUGAUUAAAAUGGGUGUGCGGCCACCCAAAGGACUACUAGAGCCUUUUGAGAGGCUUCCGUAUCAGUCUGGUCACUCAUUUGGCCUGUGGGAUUGGUUUUUCUUUUCUUGAGGAUUGAGAUGGGUUGAUCGUCCUCAUCAGAAUCACUACUAGAGGGAGAGGGAGAUUGAUGUUUGCUUGGUUCUUUAUUUGUUGGUACAGUUGGGAUGAUCUUUCUUUUCUUCGAAGGAUUAGCUUGUUUGGGAGCAUCCUUUUUCUUAGGAUUGCCUCGUUUGUUGGUGUGGCGGGGGACUUGAUGAGCAAAGGCUAACUGUUUUGCGUCUUUGUGAUAAAGACAGGAUGGAAAGAAUGGUGGAAGAUGGGACUGCGGUACGACCAAGGGAAGUGAUUGCGGAUGGGGUUUGUAGAGGCGGAGUAAGAAGGUAUGGGGCAAUACCUUCCGUAGCCUCAAUAUGGUCUGAGAUAUCAGUAGUUUCAAGACCAAGAGUAGAGUGAAUAUGGGAUGGUAGUCUUCUAAUGGGUCCAAAAACAGAUUGAUCAGAUGAGGUAUUGUACCUUUUGAGAUCUUUGGUGACAAAGAGAUUGAUCUCGUUGCCCAUGCAAAGUCCUAUAUCCACAUGGAGAUCUGUGAUGCAUAGAGACCAGAACCUUGCAAACGUGAGUUCGGUAGGGUUCUCUUUUGGGCUUUCCUUAGGAAUAUAUUGUAAGAAGUUAUCCCAUAGUAUCUGACUGUAGUUGAUGUCAUGGCUAGUGAAGAUAAUCCACACUAACUGUAGGAGCUUGAGUCCCAUAUUAUAUGUGCCUCCAGUUCUGUCGGACAGACUGUGGAUCACAAAGUGGCAAACAAAUUGCCAAACCGCAUGCAGUUGAUUUUUAUUGAUUCGCUAGCGAUAUUUUCUGGAUUCAUGGUGUUCAAUUUGGCUUCCUUGACCUGUGAGGCUAGGGGAGAUCGGAUGGUGAUUGAUAGGGUCUUCACACGACGACUUGAAUACUCCUUUUGGCUCAGGGCAUCAACUACCACUUUAGCCUUGCCUGGAUGGUAUUUGAUCUCACACUCAUAGUCAUUUAACAGUUCGACCCAUCUUCACUACCUCAUGUUUAUUUCCUUUUGAUUUAGCAUGUGCCGGAGGCUCUUGUGGUCUGUAAAGAUGGUGCACUUAGUACCAUAUAGGUAGUGCCUCCAAAUUUUCAGGGCGAAGAAAACCGCUCCCAAUUCCAGGUCAUGCGUGGUAUAAUUCACUUCAUGUUUUUCAGUUGUCUGGAUGCAUAAGCAAUUACCUUCCCGUGUUGCUUAAGAACACAACCUAAACCCUGAUUCGAAGCAUCCCAGUAAACUAUGAAGUCUUCGGUUCCCUCCGGUAAGGAUAGUACUGGAGCACUACAGAGAGCUUGCUUCAAGGUUUCGAAAGUGAUCUCCUGCUUCUGUGUCCAGUUAAGCGGUACACCGUUCUGUGUCAAUGUGGUGAGGGGUUUGGCUAUCUUAGAAAAGUUCUGAAUGAAUCUUUGGUAAUAGCCUGCUAGUCCCAAGAAUUUUCGAAUCUCUAUUGGCAUUGUCGGAAUUGCCAACCUUCAAUAGCCUUGACUUUGGGGGGAUCUACAUGGAUUCCUUCCUGGCUAACUACAUGCCCCAAGAAAUUCACACUGCAGAGCCAAAAUUUACACUUGGAGAGUUUUACAUAUAACUUUUCAGUUCGAGGGGCCUAUAAGAUCUUACGCAGGUAUUGCCUAUGAUCUUUCUCACUUCGAGAGUACACGAGGAUAUCAUCGAUGAAAAUGAUUACAAAUUUAUCAAGAAAUGGGUGGCAAACUCGAUUCAUGAUGUCCAUAAAUGUAGCGCGGGCAUUUGUCAGACCGAAUGUGACAACCCAAAAUUAUUUCCAUCAUUAUAACCCAUUUCCGUUAAAUAGAAUAUUCUAUUUUAUAAAUGUUCCGUUAAUUUAGGGUCGACAAAUAAAUAAAUGUUUUAUUUUAUUUGUAUUUUAUGUUAAUAUUGUCGUAACAAAAUAAAUAAAACUCAUAAAUUUCAUUUCCAUUUAGUUGGAAAAAAUUUAUUUUUAUUACGACCAUUUAACCGGGUAAAAAGUUUAAACCUCGUUAAACAUAAGUAUCGGGUAGUCGAAUACCGGGUACAACACCCAGCCUUAUAUAAAGGAGGGUGGGCAUCUCAUAGAAACCUUUUACCACACUUGACCCACUUUCUCUCUCUACUCUCUCUCCUCAAGUCCGAUUUCAUCUAAAAACCGCAAGUUUCCGCCUCCAAAACGUAAGUUCUCUUGCCCUAACUUGUUCUAGACAUCAUUGAUUUGUGUUUUAACCCAAAAAUCGUUCUUGAAAGCUGAAAAAGAGGAGUUUACGGCCUAAGAACCUCCUUAGGGCGUAAACCCCUGAAAUGUGGUCAAAAGUGCCAAAUUUCUUCCCUGUGAGCUUAGAAACAAGUUUUGGACUUAACCUAGGAGUGUUUGAACCUUGAAUCAACAUUUUUAGGGCUUGGAAGAGGGUUUACGGUCCAAGCACAUGCUUAGACCAUAAACACCCUUUAAGCUUGCAAACCAAGCCCAAAACACUUCCAAAACACAUUUAGGCUUAAGAUAUGGCUUAGGGACUCGCUAUUUCGGACUUGGAACACCUAAACAUCAACAUUUGAGGAGUAAACUAGAGUUUACUGCCCAAGCAUAUGCUUAGACCGUAAACUCCCCUAAAACAUGCCAAAUGAAAGUUUAAGGCCCCCCCCCCCCUAAAGAGCCUUAUACCCUCACUAGAACUUGUUAGGAAGGAGCCAAGGGCCUUGUAAUCGAAGAAUGGAGGUGUCCAAGAGUUUACUACCAUAAACCAUGGGGUUUACAGCCGUAAACUCCCAAGGAGUGGUCCUUGGACCGUAAACUCCAAGGGAGUACACUUUUGGAAACAUAAACACCCCUAUAGCCUUGUAUAUUACCUUAGAAUCACUCCUAAAACCACAUGGGGCUUCAAAACACUCAAAUAUCCUCCUCCCAUUAGUUUACGGCCGUAAACUCAUGGGGGAUGUGGUCUCCCAACCGUAAACUCACUCAAGGUGAGUUUUAGGAGAGUAAACUCCAUGGUGAGGUCUUAGACACUUUCCUUGCAACCCAUUAGCCUUCUAGCACUCAACCAUAAGACCUUUAAUCACAUUAGGAUGUUUGUAUGUGUAUAAUUAGAGUCUAAAUCACUAAUUACUUGUAAACAUAUGUCUUCAUAUGUUACUAGGGUCAUAAAGGGUCUACAAGUCUCUACUUGACACCAAACGCUCAUCCGACAAUUCCACCCGAUCUACUCAUUGCAAGUGAGUUCAUUCCCCUUAAUGAACUUUUUUUAAAUGUUUUUACAUGUUUUAGGGGGGGGGGGGGGGAUACAAGGAUAAAGCUACAAGUUUUUAUUAGUAAAUCAUAUGUGAUUCACAAAUUAUCUUUAAAAAGGGAUUUUUCUACACUUUUAGCUGUUUACCAAUAAAACUGUUUUAGUUGUUUAUCAAAUGCAUUUUUAAGAUUAUAUUGUGGUCAAACUAUUUUCAAAACUGUUUUUAAAUCAUUUUUCUGUUAAUAAAAAUAUACAUACACAAAUAUAUUUAUAUAAGUAAGACUUGAAGGACUUAGGACCGAUAGCUCGCCUUAUUUCCUGUUCUUGUUUGAUGUGGUCUUAGGGUAUCUGUUAUCCAUCCGACUGUCGUUGAUUUCUUAGUUAUAUAUCAUAUAUAUUUGUGUUAGAUAUGAAAGUCUUCAUCUCAUACAAUAACUUUGUUAUUCCAAGGCAGGAAAUCGCACACUGUAGUUAACUAUAAUAAGUAUAGUUAAGACUACUACUCGUUACCUCUACUACUACUAUACUCACUAUAACUGCUAUUACUACAAGUUAAUACACGUAUAAGAGAACACUGUAUGAACUAUACAAAAAGACUACUAUACUAUAAUACAAUAGAAUACACGAAUCCAGAGUAUAAACACUAUCUCUCUAUAAGACACCCUACCAUGCUUACACCAUGUGACCAGGGAUUUCCGGAAGGAAGGCAACACUACAUGUAUAGAUCUAUGCAGGGCAGACACUAUUACAUCUCGACUGUUAACUAUAGUCUGAGUCGACUAGGCCCAGGGGUGGCACCACAUCACUACACUACGCAUGACCGGGAAGGUCAUCGGGUUCUCUAUUAUCAUCCAGUCUGGUUACAUGAGGGUUACACCUUUAUUCAAAUUAAUACACUAAGACCUAAGUCUAAGCUAGCAUCCCAAAGUAUGUAAAUAUCUAUUACUAAUGGAAAUUUGCACCACUACUACUGCCAACAUGCAUAACUUUUCUUCAUCUAUGUUACUCAUAGGAGAUUUCCUAUGGUACUUUUACAACUGAAGGUUUUCAAUGAUAAUACUUACACACAACUCAAGGGAUUUAACUUACAAUGUACUUUUCUAGAAAAUAUAGGAUUUUCUAGGGAUUUGUACUACUCAUAAAUACAAAUUUUAGUUUUUUUUAUAUACUAUAAGUUUGCAAACACUUUUAUACUACAACGACACUAAAUUCUUAUGAACACACCAGCUUUAUGCUGAUACUCGUUUUCAAAAUAACUUGUAUCCUUAGGUCAAAGAUAGACAGGUACAGGUGCAGCUUUUGGAGAAGAUGGAGCACAUACAAGACCCAUCUUUUAUUUUGUUACACUUUUGGUGUCUAUUAAACUAUACAGAACACGUUUGUAAUUAAACUUACUAUAUAAAUGCAAUGGUUGUUGUCCCUUGUUUUUACUAUUAUGCAAUUGUUAUUGUUGAAAAAUGUUCUUAUGUAACCUUGUAUGUGACCAUCACUGAAAUAAGACGAACUAUUCUUAUUUUAUCUGACAAAUAUUAUCAGUUAUUUCAGGUUGCGCGGAUUCGUGAUCGAAUGGAAAAUACAAAAAUACGUGAAAGACGGAAUACACAAAGAUGGAAAAAUAGCCGCAUAUUUGGUCGUUUGAAGACAAAACAAAUCAACGGAUAAAAAUUGUCAAGACUUCAAAACCUUAAGGGACUUUAAUGGAAAUUUAUUUAUAAUGAAUAAAUUUAUGAGAUUUAUUGGCUACUGGAGAGUUAAAAGCAAAACCCAAAAACACGUAAGUUAGUUAGUAUGACAACUUGAUAGUCAAUUCCUACAACUACCGCUUUGACAAAAACCACACCUACAACCUACGUAUUCAUCAUUCUUGAGAGACACCUUUUAAGAUAUUUUGUUUUAUUUAUGUACAUAUAUAUGUAUGUGUGUGUAUGUAAUGCAAAUAGUGUUUUUUUUUGUUCAUCCCUUACGACUUCAACCUCAAGCAUAAGCUUCAUCCUUGUGAAGUAAAGUCAAGAACACCAAGAACCAACAACACCACCUUCAUUCAUCAUCACCUUAUACCUCCAUUUUAACCACAUAAUUCCACACUCAAAACAACCUCAAAAUACUCUCCAAACACCCUCCAAAUACCAUCCUUAAACCUCCUCCAAAAAACCUUUUUAAAUCACCUCACCAUCACCACCUUGCUGUUUUUCGACAUCAGAAUUUUCAUGAUAGAAAACAAAAAACUGAGCACAACAAAGCCAAAAUACUACUAUGAAUAUUUUCACCAUCAAUUCUUCAGGACCUUACCUACGUCUAGUAAUUUUGAUGGACGAUUUUGACCAUGGGAACACACCAGCUUUAUGCUGAUACUCGUUUUCAAAAUAACUUGUAUCCUCAGGUCAAAGAUAGACAGGUACAGGUGCAACUUUUGGAGAAGAUGGAGCACAUACAAGACCCAUCUUUUAUUUUGUUACACUUUUGGUGUCUAUUAAACUAUACAGAACACGUUUGUAAUUAAACUUACUAUAUAAAUGCAAUGGUUGUUGUCGCUUGUUUUUACUAUUAUGCAAUUGUUAUUGUUGAAAAAUGUUCUUAUGUAACCUUGUAUGUGACCAUCACUGAAAUAAGACGAACUAUUCUUAUUUUAUCUGACAAAUAUUAUCAGUUAUUUCAGGUUGCGCGGAUUCGUGAUCGAAUGGAAAAUACAAAAAUACGUGAAAGACGGAAUACACAAAGAUGGAAAAAUAGCCGCAUAUUUGGUCGUUUGAAGACAAAACAAAUCAACGGAUAAAAAUUGUCAAGACUUCAAAACCUUAAGGGACUUUAAUGGAAAUUUAUUUAUAAUGAAUAAAUUUAUGAGAUUUAUUGGCUACUGGAGAGUUAAAAGCAAAACCCAAACACACGUAAGUUAGUUAGUAUGGCAACUUGAUAGUCAAUUCCUACAACUACCGCUUUGACAAAAACCACACCUACAACCUACGUAUUCAUCAUUCUUGAGAGACACCUUUUAAGAUAUUUUGUUUUAUUUAUGUACAUAUAUAUGUAUGUGUGUGUAUGUAAUGCAAAUAGUGUUUUUUUUUGUUCAUCCCUUACGACUUCAACCUCAAGCAUAAGCUUCAUCCUUGUGAAGUAAAGUCAAGAACACCAAGAACCAACAACACCACCUUCAUUCAUCAUCACCUUAUACCUCCAUUUUAACCACAUAAUUCCACACUCAAAACAACCUCAAAAUACUCUCCAAACACCCUCCAAAUACCAUCCUUAAACCUCCUCCAAAAAACCUUUUUAAAUCACCUCACCAUCACCACCUUGCUGUUUUUCGACAUCAGAAUUUUCAUGUUAGAAAACAAAAAACCGAGCACAACAAAGCCAAAAUACUACUAUGAAUAUUUUCACCAUCAAUUCUUCAGGACCUUACCUAUGUCUAGUAAUUUUGAUGGACGAUUUUGACCAUGGGAAACCCCAGAGAGACGCGAGAGAGGAUUGGCUUUCCAGAGAGAUUUCUGUUUUCAAGUUCAGAAUCUUCAUGUUAGAAAACAAAAAACCGAGCACAACACAGCCAAAAUACUACUAGGGAGAUUUUCACCAUCAAUUCUUCAGAACCUUACCUACAUCUAGAAAUUUUCGUGGACAAUUUUGACCACAGGAAACGCCAAAGAGACGCGAGAGAGAAUUGGCUAUCCAGAGAGAUUUACUCCGAAAAUCUACAUCCAUCACCACCCAAAGCUCCUUCAACUUCACCAUCUUUGUUGCCUUACACCACAAAAAUUACAACCUUAUUCCACCUCCUAACACCCUCCAAAUACCCACUCCAACCUCAUCAAAUCUCCUCAAACACCCUAUACCCGUAUACAAAUACAUGACUCGUGUAUUUUGCAUUGUUUUGUAAACAACCCAUUUUACAUGAAAAUGAACUUUUUACUACUUAUCAAAUACCGGAUUGAUCUUUGAACAAAUAUCGACCAGUCGUUCCAAGAGUCCCAAUAUCGACCAGUCCUUCCAAGAGAACAAAUAUCGACCAGUCGUUCCACGAGUCCAGUUCAGUCAAUUUAUUGACGAACCUACUUGAUAUAUAUUUAUAUACUUAUAUANNNNNNNNNNNNNNNNNNNNNNNNNNNNNNNNNNNNNNNNNNNNNNNNNNNNNNNNNNNNNNNNNNNNNNNNNNNNNNNNNNNNNNNNNNNNNNNNNNNNNNNNNNNNNNNNNNNNNNNNNNNNNNNNNNNNNNNNNNNNNNNNNNNNNNNNNNNNNNNNNNNNNNNNNNNNNNNNNNNNNNNNNNNNNNNNNNNNNNNNNNNNNNNNNNNNNNNNNNNNNNNNNNNNNNNNNNNNNNNNNNNNNNNNNNNNNNNNNNNNNNNNNNNNNNNNNNNNNNNNNNNNNNNNNNNNNNNNNNNNNNNNNNNNNNNNNNNNNNNNNNNNNNNNNNNNNNNNNNNNNNNNNNNNNNNNNNNNNNNNNNNNNNNNNNNNNNNNNNNNNNNNNNNNNNNNNNNNNNNNNNNNNNNNNNNNNNNNNNNNNNNNNNNNNNNNNNNNNNNNNNNNNNNNNNNNNNNNNNNNNNNNNNNNNNNNNNNNNNNNNNNNNNNNNNNNNNNNNNNNNNNNNNNNNNNNNNNNNNNNNNNNNNNNNNNNNNNNNNNNNNNNNNNNNNNNNNNNNNNNNNNNNNNNNNNNNNNNNNNNNNNNNNNNNNNNNNNNNNNNNNNNNNNNNNNNNNNNNNNNNNNNNNNNNNNNNNNNNNNNNNNNNNNNNNNNNNNNAUCAAGUAUAUAUAUAUAUAUAUAUAUAUAUAUAUAUAUAUACAUUCACCACUACAAAAGGGUCGCUAUCAUACUAGAACAGAACAAAAGUAUUAAGAUUGUUGAACAGCACAAUUAAGCUUAAAGGCAUAUAGUCACAUCUGGGUGGAUGUAGCCUGAUCAACUACAUUUUUUUCAGGAGUCACUAGCAUGUGCCUAAGAGUGAUUGUGGUGUUGCAACAAGUCUAAAAACUUACCAACACUACCACAAGAACGUUAGAACAAGAAUACUAUAUGAGUAUUAUGCAUUCUACUAAUUACGUAUGUGAUAACUAAAGGGUCGUUACUGGUAGGACAAUGGUUGCUAAGUGGAUACACCACGGUUACAUGUGGCUAGGGCGUUAUAGACUCAGAAUCUGUGACCUUUGCUUCAUUUCCUGUUCUUGUUUGAUUGGGGAUCUGAAGUUAGGGUUGCUUAUUCGAAGGACUAUCUUGCUUCGGUUACAUGUAAUUGGUAUGUAUUACGCAAGUAUUAGGUCGACCAAUAACGAUCCAUCUCAUAAGUAUCCUAGAUAAAUACGUCUAUUAACCUUUCUUUCCCCCUUUCUCGCGUAGAUAGCAGUGCUGGCUUCCACCAUCCUGGCGAUCCGUAUUAUCUAAACCAGGGCAAUGGAGGAUGGCUCGAUGAGGAGCCAGAAGAUGAUCACCCGAUCCCUUUGGAUGAUCAUCAUGCAGAAGGCUUCUCGGAUAGCUCCAGCUCCGAGCCAAAAGUUAACAACCUACCCCCUAUAGCUCCAAACCCCAACCCCCGUCCGACAUUUCGAGGUCCCACUCCCAUGUGGGCAAUAACCUAGAACCGAUGAAGCGAGGAGCUGGGUCAGCCCUUACUUUACAAUGGAGACCAAAGCUUCUACAACAUAAGCGAGGGAGGAUCAGCAGACCAUGUCCUGCCCAUCAUGGUCCGAAGGAUUUCCAGGAACGUCGAGCAAGGUCAAGCAGCCAUUGGCCGAGUUGUAGAAGUGGAUGCCAACUCAAAUCUCAACACUGUUCGCAUCUGCCAACUUGAAGAAGCUAUGGAUAGGGCAAGGAGGACCAACGAGGCUCUGUAGCAACAGAUAGUUGCAUCCUGAGCCGAAGUUAGGGAACUCCGAGCACGUCAGAGGACUCAUGAAUGACAUCUCUAGGAAGUUAUGCGCCAACUUGCUGACCUGAGGGUUUGCCCAAUAGGAACCCGUCGCCAGUAGAAGAUGUCGAACCAUCCCGCUCUUUUGUUUAAGGACUAGCAUUUUCUUUUCUAUGCUCAGUAGAGAACUUGUCUGUAAGCAUUUCUAACUUUGAAAGUACUCUAACUAGGCCUCUAGACUGCCAACAUUUUCCUUUUGGUUUGAUGUAACACCUGCUAUGACUCUCUCUCUCUCUCUCUCUCUCUCUCUGAUUUUUGGACUAUGUUGAUUUAGUCCAUGGAACACUCUUAGCAUACUUGCAACAAACUCUUACUAUUGUCAUCAUCCCUAUUAACUUUCAGUGAAAGAUGCCUCCUCGAAAGGCGCCCAAACAGAGGAAGGACAACAACUCAAACUCCACCUCCACCACCUCCUCCCCCGCAAUUCGAUCCAGUGCUGUUUCAAACAGCUGUGACGGCAGCUAUGGCCCAAAUAAAUUCUGGCGAUGCUAGUGGAGCCGGAAUGGGAACCAACUCUAGACAUGGUGAAAUCCACUCUCGUACACAGGGGUGUACUUACAAAGAUUUCAUGAACUGUAAGCCCACAUUUUUCAAUGGGACCGGAGGAAUCCAUAGACUCCGUUAAGAUUCCGGUACGUUCAUUCUCGAUAGCACAUAUGCAUGUAUACUAUAUAAUAGCAAUACAGAGAGGAGUAUUGUGAGUCGUAGAUGUAAUAAAUUUCUCAACCAAAAACCUCAAAUACUUAAACGAAAUAUUUAUAGUAGAAUUGGAAUAAUCAAAACACUAGAGACAUGUACAUAGGGUGCACUCUAACACUAAAUCAACCAAUUCGUUCAAAUCAUCCUAAAACCGGUCACAAUAAAAAGUUACGACACUUUCGUGUUAACAACGCAUUAGUUAGUUUCCUCACCAUAUCGAUAUCAUAUAUUAUGAAAGGUCGUUCGCCUAAACCCAUCGAGUAACAACACCCUCGUCGUCUAUGGCGACAAACCGGACACAAACCCCCGACUCACCUUUUACAUCAAGACUCAGAAGUACCUACACAUGAGGUACCACGCCGUCCUAGCCCGCACUGUGGAUAAGAAACAAGAAUAGAAAGACAUCAGGAAUGUUCCAAAAGCCCGUAACCCUCCCGAUAUAUUCCUAGAAGAACUCCUGGGAAUACCAUCCAUACGGCAACUCAAGUUCAAAAAUCGACUUAAAUGCAGUAGUUGUGGAAAAGGGUUGUUGUAAAUGCCAUCUCACCCAAGUUAAUCACCCCACUCAAGUAGAGACUAUAGACCCAUACUAGUGAAUCUAUGAUUACUAAGUGUAUAUAUUAGAGCCCUAUAUAAUUAAGAUUCUAUGGACUUAGGGUUGGUAAUUCCGCUUUAAAUCUUUUUCCUUGUUUGGAUGUGGGCUUAGAAUAGAAUCACUGAUUUGACUGUCUUUUCAAUCCUAAUUAUAUAUGACUUAUAAGCACAAAGAGAUGAUAGAUGAAUCAGUUAUGAGUCAUACCAUGAACUCCAUGACAAGUUACCCAAGACAGCGGAUGGACACGCUACCACUUGAGCGAGCGUAGACAAAUCAACCAAACCCACACACUUUCUACCAACCAAGGCUACAAAGAAAAAUAGAAAAGCUGAUAGGAGCAUAUCACAAGAAGAUUGCGAGACUGCAUAGUAUACCACUAUCUAUCAUUUUGGAUAAGGGACAGGCGAUUCGCCUCGUGUUUUCAAUAGUCAUUAAAGAAGUCCUUAAUAUCACCCUCAAACUGACAGACAAAGCGGAAGAACCAUUCAUCGAAUCCUUAUACAACAACUAUUACAUUAACAUCAAAGUCGCGUCAUUCGAAGUUCCUAACAACACUCUCACCAGCCCCCAGAUCAUACGAGAAAAUAUAGAGAAGAUUGUUCAAACUCGUGAAUAAUUGAAGGCAUCCCAGAAUCGGAAGAAGAGCUUGUCUGAUGAGACUCUUGUUAUUCCACUUGACGAAAUUGAAGACAACGAGAGUCUAAACUUCAUCGAAGAACCGGUGGAAAUCAUGGGUCAGGAGGUCAAAAGGGCUAAACAAAGCCGCAUACCCAUAGUGAAGGCCCGUUGGAGCGCCAAGCGUGGACCUGAAUUCACCAGGGAACGCGAGAAACAAAAAAAAAAAAGAAACACCCCCAAUUGUUUAGUGAUUUCCCAUCCACAAGUUCAAUUUCGGGCCGGAAUUCUUUUAACGGGGGGAGAAUGUAACAAUUGGUAAAAAUAGGAACAAUCGUACGAUGCUAUGUUUUGAUUAUUAAGCAAUAUGAGUAUUUUAUCAAGAAUGGUUGAAGUAAUUUAACCUCUUUUAUUUAAAUAAGUUCUUGUGAAAUAUAAAACAAGUAACUAUUGAUAAAUUUCGUUAUGAUGUAUGACUACGAACCAUCACCGGUUUGUGAAAAUUAGCAUAUAACAUCAUUUGAAUGCAACAAAUUUAAUUUUUGUAUCAACAUGUAUGUAGUUGAUAAUUAAGUUAGGUUCUAUGUAAAACUUGUGCUUAAUAGAUGCGGAGGAUCUAAAUUUGACAAAUAUACGAACCAAAGUGACAAAACGUGUUAAACGAUAUGGUUAACCGGUUAAAUGUCACGAAAUUAUACAUUGGUCAAUAAAUUUUAUAUUUAAAUAAAUUAAAAUAUAAAAUGAAUUAUUAUAAGGUAUAAUUAAAAUGUAUUUAAGUGUUUUUGAAUAAAAAGAAUAAAACAUAAACAUUAAAGUUCAAAUACACAAAAACUACAUUGUUAUUUUAUACUAAGUAUACAUGUAUGUAUUUGUAUAUAUGUAUUAUUAUCUAGUGAAUGACUAGUUAUGGGUCAUGAUUUAAAUGAUUUCAUGUAAGGAAUAUGAUUUCUAAAUCAAUUAAGAUAAGAGAAUUGGUGGAGAUAUGUGCCAACUUAACUAAUAAGUGCUUAAUCACUUAAGACAUUUUACUAAGAAUGCUUAUUAAUCCCUCUUCUAAUUUUCGAGAUUAAGACCUUCCCUCUCCUUAACUAGAACUCCUAACUAACUAAAUAACUAGUAGUUAGUUAGUUAACUAACUCUAUCUCUAAACAACCACCCAAGCAAGUGGCUAGACAAGAUCACAUCACUUAAACUCACAUCCCAUCACAAGCUAGUCUAGGUUUUGUCCCCUUAUCCUCUUCCACCCUUUCCUCCUUCAUAACCACGAAAUUUCCUCUUCAUUUUACCCUCAUUUGACCAGCCAAUACUCCAAGUAAUUACUCUCAACCUUCAUCUCAUUUUCAAGCACAAGAACUUCCUUCCAAAGCCAUCAAAACCAUGAACUAAAGGGUUGCUGUCCCUUUUGUGUUUCAGCCACCAUUUCACCCAUCUACACCUUCCUUUUGCUUGAUAUUUUUACCACCAAAUACCCCUGGAAGUUACUUGUUUUGAUACUCAAAAUUAUUGAUUCAAAACAGUGAGUAAACUACCCUUUUUCUUGCACUUUUGCUGUGAAAUUUUCGUGACAGCAACAUAGCCAAAAGAGUGGCUGUUUUGGAGCAUCAAACCAACAACCAAAAGUUCAUCUUCAACUUUCCAUUCUUCAAGUAUUCACAUAAGGUGAGUUCAUACCCCUACAUUUUCAUGUUUUAUUCAAGUUUUAAGGGGGGGAAUACAAGUUAGAACACUAAACAUAACUCAAAUUUAAAUGACAGCUUUCUACAGAAAAGUUGAGUCCUGUUCACGGACUGUUUUGACCAUCUUAAACUUAAUAUCUUUCAAAACUGUACAAUAUGCAAAUAGUUCAAGUUUAUACCUUUCUAAUGACUACUCGCACACGUUCAUACGAUUUUUCUACAAUUUAUGGCGAUUUUUAUAAAACUGCCUGUCAUUUCAGAAGUGAUUUCGGACCAGUCUAUGAAGAUGUUCAUUUUCACACUAGUUUGAGACCACUAAAAAUCAUAAUAAAAAUUAGGAACAAAGUAGACUCAUUUUAUAAACUCUCAGGCGUGACGGAUUAAGUUUUUGACUUACGAUGAUUUUUCUAUGAGUUUUCUAAAAACAGGGACAGUAAAGGGUAAAAUUGUCUAAAGUGGUUUAUAGAUUCAUUAACACUUUCUAACAUUUUUGAGCAAUGUUUAUACAUUAAGGAAGUUAAUACAGAAUCAUUAAAAUAUGUUUAAUUACAAUUUUUACAAAAGUGAUAAGUACAAAAAGGUAUUUAGUAUCAAACUUAAGGAUUAUUUCAUGCAAAGUUUCUAAUAAAAACGUAAGAAUAUGAACAACAAUUACGAAACAUACCAAAUCAUCUUUUAGAUAUUAUAAAUAUAUAUAACCAUUUGCAUAUAUAUGUUUUGUUUACAAACGUGUCUUCUGCAUAAAAAAUAUACAAAUAUAGUUUACGAAACUCUACUCCAUUUGUAUCCUAUUGAGAAAAGGGUAAAAUAUUAUCAAAAACAAAUCUAAAGAUUUCAUGUUGUUUUUUAUAGCUAUCCCGGUCUUAGGGGAUGAUCAUUUAUACAAACAUUUUCAGCACAAAAACACGUAAACUCGUUGAACAAAUUUAGUGAGUUUUGUCUUCACUGUACCUUAUAAAGUACACACGAAAGUCCUGUUAAAUAUAACCAGAGUCUCUUGUAGGGAGAGUGUGAUAGUUGUGUAUAGAUCUAUACUGGGACCGACAAUCCCGCACCUUAGCUGCUUGCAACAGCUAGACCGGCAGGUCUGGGGGUGACAAAUGUCAUAACGAAAUCGACACCUGAAGAACGUUGCGAACAAGACAGUCUGGGUCAAUCAAGCAUGGUUAUAAGAUAAAAAUUAAAACUCACAUAAAACAACAAUGACACUUUUAGUUUACGCAAAGACAGUCUUCAAACAGUUUUAUAUACAAACAAAACUGCAUAACAUCAUUUUAAGUAGGAAAAUUACUUAUACGCUUCGGUCUUGGUUCAUUUAAGGCCACAUCUCAUUUUAGGGAAAAUAUAGGAUUUUCCGGAAAACAAACAUUACUACAUUUCAUAGAAAAGGUUUACAAAUAUACAUACAAAUGCUUAUGAACUCACCAACUUAAAUGUUGAUACUCUCUUUUCAAAUAACUUGUAUUCUCAGGAAAUCAGUAAAUCAGGUAACAACUGGCUUUGAGGAUGGGACGCUUAGGCGUCUAAACAAAUCUUUUGACAACAUAUUGUAAUUGAUAUUUUGAAACAUGUAAUACGUACAAAUGAUGUAACNUUAAGGGACUGGAAUUGUAAUUAUAAGAUAAUUGCUAUUUGGGCUAUGGAUUGCCUUGUAUUAAGGGGUGGACGAAUUCUAUGGGGAAGCCCAUAAAAAAUCGUCCAAAGCCUUAAUUAAAUGAGUCCAUGGGUUGCUUAGGGCUUAAGCAUCCAAAUUAUGGUUUCCUUGUUAGAUAACCCUAAUAGCCUCACUAUAUAUAGAUCCCUUAAGGACCAAAAACGUGGCUAAGACUCCUCUAGGGUUUGUAGACGUUUUUGGGCAGCCUCCAUCCUCUCUCCUCAUCAUCCUCUUGCUUAUGGUGUUUAUGAACCAUUAGAGGAGUGACACUUGUGACUCUAAGCCUUCCAAAGUCAAUACAAGGAGAUUUGGGAUUGUUAUUGCUACAUAACAAUCAAGGUAACAUCUUAAACCUAUUCUUAUGUUAAUAUGAUUACUUGUAUGCUAGAAUUAGGGUUUAUAGUCUUGGAUAACUUGCAUGUACAAUAGAGAAAACUAGAUCCGAGCAUUAGGGUUUGUAUGAGCAUAUAGGAUGUUCUUAGGACCAAAACCCAUCAGUAUUCUCAGGAAAUCAGUAAAUCAGGUAACAACUGGCUUUGAGGAUGGGACGCUUAGGCUUCUAAACAAAUCUUUUGACAACAUAUUAUAAUUGAUAUUUUGAAACAUGUAAUACGUACAAAUGAUGUAACUUUUUCAAUUAUAUAUAUGUUGGUUGUGUUUGCUUUGAACAUUUAUACUCAACUGUUAUGAUACACUACAUGAUAGUCACCCGCCCCUGGACGUUUCCGCCAUUCGGUUUGGGGGUGUGACAAUCUCAUACCUGUAUCGAUCAAGAGUUUCGAUGUCAUUGUUGGCAUGGACAGGUUGAGCCUUCAUCGCGCGGAUAUUCUAUGCUUCGACAAAGCCAUUCUCCUAAAUCCACCGAAUCACGAAACUCUGUUGAUCUACGGAGACAAACCCGGUAUGAGCCUUCGUAUCGUCUCAAGUAUUCAAGCCCAGAAAUACUUGCGUAAGGAAUAUCACACCUUACUUGCACACGUUGUCGACACGAUCCAGAAAGCGAGAGAUCCAAAAGACAUCCCUGUUGUAUGCGAUUUCCCUGACGUCUUUCCAGAGGACCUUACAGGUUUACCUCCCAAACAUCAGGUUGAAUUUAGAAUAGACCUAGUCCCAGGAGCUACCCCCGUAGCUAAGUCGAUCGCCCUAUCGUUUAGCGCCUGCAGAGAUGCAAGAACUAUCCGGUCAACUUAACGAGCUGCUCAGCAAGGGCUUUAUGAGGUCGAGCUUCUCACCCUGGGGAGCUCCGGUCUUGUUCAUGAAGAAGAAGGAUGUAUUGUUCCGUAUUUGCAUCGAUUAUAGGUAUCUCAACAAACUCACGGUCAAAAAUCGCUACCCUCUUCCUCGUAUAGACGACCUAUUCGACCAAAUACAAGGGGCGAGUUACUUUUCCAAUAUUGAUCUUACGUCCGGGUAUCACCAGUUACGUGUGCUUGAGGAGGAUGUUUCGAAGAGAGCCUUCUGAACUCGUUACGGACAUUACGAGUUCGUAGUGAUGCCCUUUGGACUGACUAACGCACCUGCAGUGUUUAUGGACUUGAUGAAUAGGGUGUGUCGUCCGUACUUAGAUCAGUUCUUCAUCGUCUUUAUUGAUGAUAUACUCGUCUACUCUCGAAGCGAGGAAGAACACAGGAAUCAUCUAUGACGACUCCCGGAAACCCUACGAUCGGAGAAGCUAUACACAAAGUUCUCUAAGUGCGGAUUUUGGAUCUGAAGAGUUGAGUUCUUAGGACACGUGGUUAGUGAGGAAGGAAUCCACGCGGACCCAUCCAAGAUUAAAGCUAUCGAGAACUGUUCAGCACCGAAGAUGCCUACGGAAAUUCGUCAAUUUCUGGGCCUCGCUAGCUACUACCGCAAAUUCAUUCAGAACUUCUCUUGGAUUGUGAAGCCUCUUACCAUGUUAACACAGAAAGGCGUAACGUUUGACUGGGAAGAGAAACAGAAGAAGGCAUUCCAGACUAUGAAGCGAGCCCUAUGCACCGCACCGGUGUUAUCCCUUCCCGAAGGGACAGAAGAUUUCAUGGUAUACUGCGAUGCAUCGAACCAAGGGCUCGGUUGUGUCUUGAUGCAACGAGGUAAGGUCAUCGCCUAUGCCUCAAGACAGCUGAAGAUGCAUGAGGUUAACUACACCACUCACGAACUCGAGUUAGGGGAGGUUGUAUUCGCUCUAAAGAUCUGGAGACAUUACUUGUAUGCAACGAAGAGCAUAAUAUACAUUGAUCAUAAAAGCCUCCAACACAUACUGAACCAGAAGUAGCUCAAAAUGAGACAACGACGAUGGGUCGAACUACUCAAUGAUUACGACUGUGAGAUUCGUUAUCAACCGGGGAAAGCCAAUAUGGUAGCAGACGCCCUAAGUAGAAAAGAGUAUUCUGGUCGAAGAUUCAAGUCGUUAACAAUAACUAUCCAUUCGCAUCUAUCCGCACAGAUUAAGGAGGCUCAGCUCGAAGCCUUAAAACCUGAGAAUGUGGCGGGAGAAUCCCUCCGUGGAAUGGAUAAGAACUUGGAGGUCAAGGGUGACGGAGCCUAUUAUCUCAUGGACCGAAUCAGGACCCUGCGCCACGGAGGUUUCAGAGACUUGGUCAUGAAGGAAGCACACAACACUCGAUACUCCAUUCACCCAGGUUCAGCUAAGAUGUAUCUGGAUCUCAAAAAGCUUUACUGAUGGCCUAAUAUGAAAGCAGAGAUUGCUACCUUCGUGAGCAAGUGCCUUACUUGCGCAAAGGUCAAGGUCGAAUACCAGAAGCCAUCAGGUAUUCUCCAACAACCGGAGAUACUGGAGUGGAAGUGGGAGCAGAUCACCAUGGAUUUCAUAACCAAGCUACCCAAGACAACGGGUGGGUUGGAUACCAUUUGGGUCAUCGUCGACAAAUUGACCAAGUCCGCGCACUUCCUACCUUUCAAAGAAACAGACAAGAUGGAGAAACUCACAAGGACAUACAUUAAGGAGAUAGUACGACUGGAUGGUGUCCCUGUAUCUAUUAUCUCUGAUAGAGAUAGUAGGUUUACUUCGAGAUUUUGGCAAUCACUGCAAAAAGCAUUAGGGACGAGGCUGGACAUGAGUACAGCCUACCAUCCGUAGACUGACGGACAAAGUGAGAGGACGAUCCAAACCUUAGAGGAUAUGUUGCGAGCUUGUGUGAUUGACUUUGGUAAGGCGUGGGAUACACACUUACCCCUUGUGGAGUUUUCCUACAACAAUAGUUAUCAUACGAGCAUCAAAGAAGCUCCAUUUGAAGCCCUCUACGGCCGGAGGUGCAGAUCCCCUCCGUGCUGGGCUGAGGUGGGUGACACUCAAUUAGCUAAAGGAUGAGUUCCUGACAGCACUCUCACAGGUUCGGAGAUCAUUCGAGAAACGACCGAAAAGAUUGUACAGAUUCGUGAACGAUUAAAAUCCGCUAGGGAUCGACAGAAAAGCUAUGCAAAUAAACGAAGAAAACCUUUCGAAUUCGAUGUGGGAGACAGUGUCCUUUUGAAAGUCUCGCCCUGGAAGGGCACGAUAGGCUUCGGAAAGUGUGGAAAGCUGAACCCAAGGUACAUAGGGCCUUUUGAGAUUCUUGCUAGAGUCGGCCCCGUAGCUUACAAACUCAAUCUACCCCACAAGCUAAGUAACAUACAUCCUACCUUCCACGUCUCAAACUUGAAGAAAUGCCUAUCCGACGAGACUCUCGUAAUUCCACUUGACGAGAUCGAAGUCAACGAGAGCCUCAACUUCGUGGAAGAGCCUGCAGAGAUCAUGGACCAAGAAGUAAAAUGAACGAAACAAAGCCGCAUUCCAAUUGUGAAGGUUCGAUGGAAUGCCAAACGAGGACCGGAGUUCACUUGGGAGGGUGAGGAUCAAAUGAAACUCAAAUAUCCCCAUCUCUUUGCUUAGUAGUACUGUAAUAAUUUAACUGUUUGAAUUCUAAAUUUCGGGACGAAAUUCCCUUAAUGGGGCGAUGAUGUGACAACCCAAAAUUAUUUCCGUCAUUAUAACCCGUUUCCAUUAAAUAGAAUAUUCUAUUUUAUAAAAGGUCCGUUAAUUUAGGGUCAACAAAUAAAUAAAUGUUUUAUUUUAUUUGUAUUUUAUGUUAAUAUUGUCGUAACAAAAUAAAUAAAACUCGUAAAUUUCAUUUCCAUUUAGUUGGAAAAAGUGUAUUUUUAUUACGACCAUUUAACCGGGUAAAAAGUUUAAACCUCGUUAAACAUAAGUAUCGGGUAGUCGAAUACCGGGUACAACACCCAAGCCUUAUAUAAAGGAGGGUGGGCAUCCCAUAGAAACCUUUUACCACACUAGACCCACUUUCUCUCUCUACUCUCUCUCCUCAAGUCCGAUUUCAUCCAAAAACCGCAAGUUUCCGCCUCCAAAACGUAAGUUCUCUUGCCCUAACUUGUUCUAGACAUCAUUGAUUUGUGUUUUAACCCAAAAAUCGUUCUUGAAGGCUGAAAAAGAGGAGUUUAUGGCCUAAGAACCUCCUUAGGCCGUAAACCCCUAAAAUGUUGUCAAAAGUGCCAAAUUUCUCUCCUUUGAGCUUAGAAACAAGUUUUGGACUUAACCUAGGAGUGUUUGAACCUUGAGUCAACAAUUUUUAGGGCUUGGAAGAGGGUUUACGGUCCAAGCACAUGCUUAGACCGUAAACACCCUCUAAGCUUGCAAACCAAGCCCAAAACACUUCCAAACCACAUUUAGGCUUAAGAUUUGGCUUAGGGAGUUGCUAUUUCGGACUUGGAACACCUAAACAUCAACAUUUGAGGGGUAAACUAGAGUUUACGGCCCAGGCAUAUGCUUAGACCGUAAACUCCCCUAAAACAUGCCAAAUGAAAGUUUAAGCCCCCCUAAAGAGCCUUAUACCCUCACUAGAACUUGUUAGGAAGGAGCUAAGGGCCUUGUAAUCAAAGAAUGGAGGUGUCCAAGAGUUUACUAUCGUAAACCAUGGGGUUUACAGCCGUAAACUCCCAAGGAGUGGUCCUUGGACCUUAAACUCCAAGGAAGUACACUUUUGGAACCUUAAACACCCCUAUAGCCUUGUAUAUUACCUUAGAAUCACUCCUAAAACCACAUGGGGCUUGAAAACACUCAAAUACCCUCCUCCCAUGAGUUUACGGCCGUAAACUCAUGGGGGAUGUGGUCUCCCAACUGUAAACUCACUCAAGGUGAGUUUUAGAAGAGUAAACUCCAUGGUGAGGUCUUAUACUCUUUCCUUGCAACCCAUUAGCCUUCUAGCACUCAACCAUAAGACCUUUAAUCACACUAGGAUGUCUGUAUGUGUAUAAUUAGAGUCUAAAUCACUAAUUACUUGUAAACAUAUGUCUUCAUAUGUUACUAGGGUCAUAAAGGGUGUACAAGUCUCUACUUGACACCAAACACUCAUCCGACACUUCCACCCGAUCUACUCAUUGCAGGUGAGUUCAUACCCCUCAAUGAACUUUUUUUAUAUGUUUUUACAUGUUUUAGGAGGGGGGGGGGGAUACAAGGAUAAAGCUACAAGUUUUUAUUAUUAAAUCAUAUGUGAUUCACAAAUUAUCUUUAAAAAGGGAUUUUUCUACACUUUUAGCUGUUUACCAAUAAAACUGUUUUAGUUGUUUAUCAAAUGCAUUUUUAAGAUUAUAUUGUGGUCAAACUAUUUUCAAAACUGUUUUUAAAUCAUUUUUCUGUUAAUAAAAAUAUACAUACACAAAUAUAUUUAUAUAAGUAAGACUUGAAGGACUUAGGACCGAUAGCUCGCCUUAUUUCAUGUUCUUGUUUGAUGUAGUCUUAGGGUAUCUGUUAUCCGUCCGACUGUCGUUGAUUUCUUAGUUAUAUAUCAUAUAUAUUUGUGUUAGAUAUGAAAGUCAUCAUCUCAUACAAUACCUUUGUUAUUCAAAGGCAGGAAAUCAUACACUCUAGUUAACUAUCAUAUGUAUAGUUAAGACUACUACUCGUUACCUCUACUACUACUAUACUCACUAUAACUGCUAUUACUACAAGUUAAUACACGUAUAAGAGAACACUCUAUGAACUAUACAAAAAGACUACUAUACUAUAAUACAAGAGAAUACACGAAUCCAGAGUAUAAAACUCUAUCUCUCUAUAAGACACCCUACCGCACUUACACCAUGUGACCAGGGCUUUCCGGAAGGAAGGCAACACUACAUAUCUAUACGGGGCAGACACUAUUACAUCCCGACUGUUAACUACAGUCUGAGCCGACUAGGCGCAGGGGUGGCACUACAUCACUACACUACGCAUGACUGGGAAGGUCAUGGGGUUCUCUAUUAUCAUCCAGUCUGGUUACAUGAGGGUUACACCUUUAUUCAAAUUAAUACACUAAGAUCUAAGUCUAAGCUAACAUCCCGAAGUAUGUAAAUAUCUAUUACUAAUGGAAAUUUGCACCACUACUACUGCCAAAACAGGCAUAACUUUUCUUCAUUUAUGUUACUCAUAGGAGAUUUUCUAUCAUACUUUUACAACUGAAAGUUUUCAAUGAUAAUAGUUACACACAACUCAAGGGAUUUAACUUACAAUGUACUUUUUUGGAAAAUAUAGGAUUUUCUACGAAUUUCUACUACUCAUAAAUACAAAUUUUAGUUUUUUUUAUAUACUAUAAGUUUGCAAACUCUUUUAUACUACAACGACACUAAAUUCUUAUGAACUCACCAACUUUAUGGUAAUACCGAUUUUCAAAAUAACUUGUAUCCUCAGGUCAAAGAUAGACAGGUACAGGUGCAGCUUUUGGAGAAGAUGAAGCACAUACAAGACCCAUCUUUUAUUUUGUUACACUUUUGGUGUCUAUUAAACUAUACAGAACACGUUUGUAAUUAAACUUACUAUACAAAUGCAAUGGUUGUUGUCGUUUGUUUUUACUAUUAUGCAAUUGUUAUGAUAUUGUACAUGACGUCCUCCACCCCAGAACUUAUUCCGCCGUUAUCGGUUUUGAGGUGUGACACCGAAGGGCAUCACGAAAAAUUCGUAAUGACCAUAACGAGUUCGAAAAGUAGUCUUGAGAAUGGCCUCAUAUCGGACUUUGAGUUGAUGAUAACCGGAUCUCAUAUGUAUCUUUGAAAAGUAACUUGCCUUUGAAGCUGGUCAAAUAGAUCAUUGAUUCGCGGAAGUGGAUACCAGUUUUUGAUGGUGAGCUUAUUCAGUUCCCUAUAGUCGAUGCACAUCCUGAAGGAUCCGUCUUUCUUUUUAACGAAAAGAGCUGGAGCUCCCCAUGAAGAUAAGCUUGGUCUAAUGAAUCCUUUAUCCAAGAUUUAACUUAGUUGGCUUGGCAAUUCCUACAUUUUAGCAGGAGCCAAUCUAUAGGGUGACUUGGCGAUCAGAGUGGCUCCAGGCUUUAGGUCGAUUUGGAAUUUGAUUUGUCGUUAUGGGGGUAUUCCAAAAAGUUCCUCUGGAAACACAUCCGGGAAGUAACAUGCCACUAGGAUGUUUUGAUUGCUCGCUACCUCUUUGGUUUUAUCCACCACGUGAUCAAGGAAUGCGUAGUUCUUCUUUUGUAAACACUUUUGCGCCUUGAUACUCGAGAUACGGUGAAGGUUUGCACCGGGUUUAUCUCUAUAUAUUAUAAGGGUUUCGUGGUUAGGAAGAUGAAGGUGAACGACCUUCUCGUGACACAUAAUAUCAGCAUGAUGGGGGCUCAACCAAUCCAUGCCGAUGAUCACAUCAAAACUCCUAAUAUUUACAGGCACUAAGUUUAUUUGGAAGGUGUGAUUGUUUAGAGUUAGUGCACACCCCACAUAGAUAUUCUUAGUUAACAUAUAUAAUGUUGGUGAGUUAAUAAGUAUGGUUGAAUAAAUGUCUUUGUAUCUUUCGUAAAAAUCCAGAAAAUUCGAUAUUUUCUGUAAAUUGUUUGAAAAUGAUGAGAAAAUCAAGUAUGAUUGCAUGUGUGAAAUUCAUAGUUAUAAUGUAUAUGAGUCUAGUUUAAAAUCACUGUAUCAUGAAUAAGUGAUAAACGUAUAUGGAUAUUUUUCCCAGAAAAUCCGAUAUUUUCUAUCUUAAUGUCUAGGUUCUUGUCUCUAUGAUUAAGUGUUUUCGUGUUGACACAAUUUAAGAAUUAAUCUUUUAUGUGUUUAAGUGGUGUUGAAUCCUUACAUGAGCCAUAAUAACCAUGCAUGAUAAUGACUAAGUCGCCCGUCUUGGCAUUUUUCCAUAUGCCGGUCUUGCUAAGGAUGUUGUCGCCCUAGACUGGCCUAUUCUAGCUGUAGCGAGCAGCUAUGGCGUGCGAGGUCACCCCGUAUAGAUCUAUACACAAACUCUCGCUUUCCAUCUAGGAAACUCUGAUUAUAACUACAGGCUACGAUUGUACACUCAUAGGUGCGAACCGACAAGUCUUAUUAGAUUCUCAACCUUUCCUGUUUGAUAAGAUUUUCCCCAUGUUUAAUGUUUUACACGUAGGUUAUAGAAUUUUCCAUUCCAAAGGUAAGUAUACAAAUUCAUAAACUAUGUACAAGUAUAUUUUCGAUCUACAAAGUAUGUGAAUUUUCAUUCCAAGCCCAAUUAGCAUGUAAAUGGGACACAAGGGUCCAAUAACAUAAUAAAAUGGUAAUUUAGGCCCAAUAGACAUGAAAAUGGGCCAGAAAGGCCCAAUAAACAAGUAACCCAUAAAUUAGGUUCAAAUUAACAUUUAAGUGGGUCGUAAGGGCCACUAAACAUGUCAUGGAAAACAUUGGCUUAAUAUGCAUUUAAUUGGGCCCUUAGGGUCCAAUGGCCAAGAUCGUGAAUAUUAGGUCCAAUAAAUAAUUAUGUAUGUGUUUCGUUCGUUUGUUUUAAUCCGUUGUUUGUUUUAGCUUGAGGUUUAUUAGUUUGAUAUUAAAAAUAUCAUUUUUCGUAAAAACGACAUUUUUGGCCAAUAACCUUCCAAUGUUUAAUUAAGGCCAAAAGUUUGUAAAUACGACACUAUAUUCCAUAAAUUAUAAAAAUUUGCAAUUUUUUCUCAAAUGUCUAAAAAUUUAUUGUUUUAGUCCAAAAAGUUUUAUUUUCAAUUUUAGAACCCUAUUUUACAAAAAAGUGCAUAUUAAACCCCUUGUUUGUAAAAAUUUACACUUUCGGCCCAAUUUUUGGAAAAUUUUACAUUUUUGGUCCAAUUUGUAAAUAAUUGUUAUUUUUACCCUUAAAUUUGGUUUAUUUACAUUUAUGCUCCAAACUUUGGGUAAUUCUCAUUUCUAACCCCAAAAAAUUUCAAUUUUUCGCAAUUUGGGCCCCAAAAACCGUGAGGCCCAAAUGUUGGCCCAUUAAGCUUAAAUUUUCAUUUUUGACCUUUUCUAAAGUAUGAUUAGCAUAGAAAAUACCUUUAUAUUCAUAUAGGACCUGUUUGGCCCUUAUGAAAGAUUAAAUGACACUUUUUACCUUUAUGUUUUGAUUUCUUGACAAUUUUGGACCUUUUAACAAGGUUGUUAUUGAAAUCUUUUGUAUCUUAAACAUGUAAUCAUUUCUGGCUUGAUAAUGUGAUAUAUAUAAUGUCAUAGUUCAUAGACUUUUGUUCAAUAUUACUUAAAAUUUCUAGAUCUACAAAGAUCUAACAUAUUUUUACCAAAUAAGUUAAGCAAGCACACAAGACAUGCAUAUAACACAUAGAGGUGGCAUUCCAAAGUUAACUCCCUAAUUCUGUUCUUUUUCCUUUUUUUGUUCAUUCAUUGGCCGAGAUUUUUCGGCCAAGAAGAUAAUAGUGGAGUAGUUUGGGCCCAUUAACUUUAGUUAGGAUAUUUUGAUCCUAAACAUAGGAUUUUUCGGCCCAUUGGGCUCUUGGAAGCAUUCAUGGCCCAAUUAGAAUAAAAGAAUGGGCUUAUGGAUCACUAAUGGUUAAUUGAAAUAGUUAUGGCCCAAUAAGUCCCAUUAGGGUUAGAAUGAAUUAUUCUAGAUCGAAAUGACACAAUAUGUUUUAGAUUUAUGAAUUAGGUCCAAUCAGGAUCCAAUUAGGGUUUCUAAGUCCAAUAAGGUUUAGUUGGGUGCUUAUUGGUCCAUUAGGCCCAAUAAGGAACUCCUAGUCCAAUAUGAACUUAAACCGGGAUUUUUACGGUUUUUAGUCUCUUUGUUGAACGUGAUUGAUGAGUCUAAUGAGCAUUGUGUGAGAUUUACUUAGAGUAUAAGAUUUACAAUAAGUGGAUGGUUACACAGGAAUAGAAUUUCCUAGUUGUAAUGCUAGUUGUGACAAUUAACAUGGCACGUUUUCUGGAAAAUGUAUGGUCUUGACGGUGCUUGACGGUCAAAAUCGGUCAAAGUCAGCCAUGGCGGUGCUUGAUGGCCCUUGGUGGUCUUGGCGGUCAUUGGCAGGAACUUUUUAAAAAAUUCAAAAAAUUGAAUUUUCAAAUAUUACAUGAAAGUUUUAAAUUUUCAAAUUUUUAAUCUUUCAAUUUUUAAAAUAUUACACAAAAAAUUUCAAAAUUUUAAUAUUUUAAAAUUUUAAAUUAUCGAAUACUUAGGUUUUUAGGGAAUAUUAAUUUUUUAAAUAAUUUUUUAAUAAUUAAGGGUCCCCGAUUAAUUUUCGUCUAGUCCGAUUAAUCGCUUAUCGUCAGUCGACCGCCGAGCUACCGCCAAACGAUUUUUACAACCUUGGUUUUAGGAUUUAUGUAAUGUUUGGUAAAAUUAUAACAUAUUUUGCACUUGAAUGUUCGGAUUAAUAUUUGGGGAUUGAAGUUGAUGAAAUGUUGGAUUGAAAUGACAGACUAAGGAAAAAUGAAAUACGUUCUUGGUGUAGAAAUGCAUCAAAAUGAAAUCACACUAUGUCAAGCACAAUUGCCCCUGGUACACACUUGGGGAGGAAGCAAAUAGUACAAAAUACAUGAGUCUUGUAGGAAGCCUCAUUUAUCUAACAAUCACGCGUCCUUAUUUGGUGUAUGUGGUUAGUCUUUCUAUCCCAAUUCAUGGUAAAUCACAAGGAGGAACACAUGGCUGCAGCAAAAUGUGUAUUAAGAUAUGUGAAAGUCAUCAGAAGAUUUGGGCUGCACUUUGGAAAGAAACUCAAUGAAAAGCUGCAAGUGUAUACAGAUAGUGACUGUAGUUGUGACAUGGAAGACCGAAAAUGCAAAUGGCCACAACAUGUGCAUGUAAUUUUGUUUGGUUAAAAGGUCUACUUGAGGAACUUUAAGAGAUACCAAAUGAAACUGUUGAAGUCUCUUAUGUGAUAAUAGCUUAACCAUAAAACUCUCAAAGAAUCUAGUGUUACAUUGGAAAAGAAAACACAUCCAUGUUGGAUUUCACUAUCACAGCGACUUGGUGAAUCAACAAGUUGUGAAGCUUGAAUUUUGCAGGUCUGAAAAAUAGUUGGAUUAUGUCAUUACUAAACCAUUGAAGUUGUUCUGUUCUUAGCUCCUGUUUUCCAGUUUUCCUUUCUAUAUUGUUUGAUGUAAUGUCUAUAAAUUAGCUGAUCCUUCUUGAAUAAGAGAUGAAUUUUAGUGCCACUUGUCUUCAAUAUCGCUUUGACAUUCUUCAAGUCUCAUGUAAGUCAAUUUUUAAAUACUUGGUACUCGUUCAAAAACUUUUAAAGACGGACUUAAUUUCACUAGAACAGAGAAAACGAGGCCUAAUUGAAGUGAAGGGGGCAGCUUACUGUGAUGAGAAACAGACUUCAGGACCUGAUCUGUGUGAGUGUGAUUGGCUGACCUCCUGCUACAAAGGGAAACAUUGGCGUCUUGCUUCUGGGAAGUUUGANGAAGUUUGAUGGGUAGGGCAUGUGAAUGUAUGUGUGUGUUGGAAAGGAGAGAGAGAGAGAAAGAGAGAGGAGAGAGAGUUCAGAGAAAAUCAAGGGAUUUUAAUUUAUCUCAGGCUCACGUUGAGUAAACCUUCCGUUUUCCUUUAAGCAUGCGUAAAAAAAUACUAAAUUUUUUAUUACUUCAAAUCUUGACCCUCCUUUAUUUUGAUAUAAUGGAAUUAAAAUUGAGUUCUCUUGUUAUUUUUACAAAUUUUUGAACUUUUGCCGCAAAUUAUUUCAUUACUUCCUAGCCCGCAAUGGACCACAGGACUAGAUUUGGAUGUUUGGACGAAUAUCGAAUCUUGCUAAAUUAAGACGUUAUAUGGCUUGUAGCCAGUAUAAGGGUAAGAAUUUGUAACUGUGGAGAUUCCACAAGAGAUUUCUGAAGGAGAAUUAAACCAUUAACAUAUAGACAACAAUUAAUGAUUAGAGGGUGAACAAAGUGGAGGUGCUCGUUAUAUAUCUUCACGCAAUGUUGAUUUCGUGAACUGGAAUCUGUAAGUAGGUGCCACAACUUAUAUACAUAUGUCGUAUAAUAAUAACAAUAAUAAUAAUAAUAAUAAUAAUAAUAAUAAUAAUAAUAAUAAUAAUAAAUCCUUUCGCAAGAUGAAUUUUAUAUUUCAUAGAUUUUUUUGGGAACAAACACAUUUGGACACCAUCCUUUUAUGUUUACGAUAUUAAAUAUAAUAUUAAAAUUAAUUGCAAGGAUAAAACUCGCAAACCUCAUUACAACAUCUAGGAAUGCCAACUCGACACAUUCUUUCACAUGGCGUUCCAUUGGGACCACACGAUUCGUUGGACAUUAACGAGCCUUACUCAGCCAAAACCGAUGAGAUAAACAAACCUGAAAAUUAAAGUAUAUUCCAUUAGAGAUAAACAGGGAAGAUGAUGGUAAUUAGAGUGCUAGCUAUUGAGACAAACAAAAGACUACGUACCAGACAUGGAAAGCAAUAACAUGACCAUGAACACCAUCUUCAAAUUUUGCUCCAUCUUUUAAGCGAUCGUUUUAAAAGCAAAAUCAAAGGAGUUAGUU